UCUGGUGAGAGACACGCUGGAUGUCAGGCUUUAUCUCAGCAGUGUACAUCCAUUGAGCCAGACUAGGAGAAAUGCCAUGAUAA